UCAAAAGAACUGUAACAUAAGAAUUGCAACUGAUUUAUUUAUUAUUUUUACCUCCAUUUCUUACAUCGUAUGUGACAUACAUUUCAAUAUCAUUAUACACUUGGAAAUAGAUGAAUUGCAGGAUUUAAACUCUUGAAGACAAGGGUUUUCCUUUUUUUGGCUAACUCUGAACUGAGUUUUUUUCCACAUUUUAUUUUCUUCAGAAUUCAUAAUAUUCUAAUUUGUUUGUUAAAUGUAUUUUAAUAGUUACGUAUUAAACAUUUUGAUAAAAUAAAUGUGUUGAUUAUCCAAUUCACUGAAAUUGUCAAUUGACAUAAAAAUGGUUAACUUUAUAAAGCAGGCAGCAGGUAGCAUUUUAUUUGAUGAAAUAAUAGCUAUAUUUUUAAAAAGUUCUUUGACAUUGAUAUUGAUUUUCAUUUUGUGUUCCUGACUUAUUGUAGGCAAUGUUUAACUGAGGAAACCUAUGUGUGUGUGUGUGUGUGUGUGUGUGUGUGUGUAUGUACACAUAUAUAUGUGUAUAUAUAUAUAUAACUUGUUCUAAUAAACUUAGAUUUUAUUUGGAUAUUAACAAUUUUCAUGUUUUACUUUGUUCAUAUAUGUUAUGUGAUUUGAUCUUCACCAUACUCCUAGAGGUUCAAGACAUUUACUUUUACUGCUACCUUAAAUCACACAAAGCUAAACCUGAGAUCAAAAUUUAGCUAAAAACAUCUACAAACACGAUGGAAAAGG
rnacentral:lncRNA from 1 species